rnacentral:rRNA from 1 species
UACGUAGGUGGCAAGCGUUGUCCGGAUUUACUGGGCGUAAAGGAUGCGUAGGCGGACAUUUAAGUCAGAUGUGAAAUACCCGAGCUUAACUUGGGAGCUGCAUUUGAAACUGGGUGUCUAGAGUGCAGGAGAGGUAAGUGGAAUUCCUAGUGUAGCGGUGAAAUGCGUAGAGAUUAGGAAGAACACCGGUGGCGAAGGCGGCCUGCUGGGCAGUGGCUGACGCUGAGACGCGACAGCGUGGGGAGCAAACAGG